GACGAACGCUGGCGGCGUGCUUAACACAUGCAAGUCGAACGGAAAGGCCCUGCUUUUGUGGGGUGCUCGAGUGGCGAACGGGUGAGUAACACGUGAGUAACCUGCCCUUGACUUUGGGAUAACUUCAGGAAACUGGGGCUAAUACCGGAUAGGAGCUCCUGCUGCAUGGUGGGGGUUGGAAAGUUUCGGCGGUUGGGGAUGGACUCGCGGCUUAUCAGCUUGUUGGUGGGGUAGUGGCUUACCAAGGCUUUGACGGGUAGCCGGCCUGAGAGGGUGACCGGCCACAUUGGGACUGAGAUACGGCGCAGACUCCUACGGGAGGCAGCAGUGGGGAAUAUUGCACAAUGGGCGGAAGCCUGAUGCGGCAACGCCGCGUGCGGGAUGACGGCCUUCGGGUUGUAAACCGCUUUCGCCUGUGACGAAGAGUGAGUGACGGUAAUGGGUAAAGAAGCACCGGCUAACUACGUG
rnacentral:rRNA from 1 species